rnacentral:lncRNA from 1 species
AAAGGAGAGUCACACAACACUCCCCAGCCACUGUGUUGACAGCCCUGGGCUGGAGGAAAGGCAGCAGUCUUCACAGAGCUCACUUUACGGCUGGGCUCACCCUUCACCCCAAGACAGCUUUGAUCACUGGGAAGUUUCCACAAACACAGAAUGAAUGAGGAAGAAGGUGAUUAUAUUUUCGGUGUGAUCCACGUGGACGAGAGGUGAGAGAUGGAACGUCUGUACCAUCAAGGUGUUGCAUGUUUUUACAAAUUGAAGAUCUGUGACAACCCUGGGUCAAGCAAGUCUAUCAGUGCCAUUCUUCCAACACUCUCCUGGGUGCAGUCAAAGCUUCACUCCCUACACCCUACUGAACUAUCAGCUGACUGAUUCCCACUUGUCCAUGCCCCAGGACCCCACAGAAGCUCCACAUGCUUCCACAAGCUGAUGCACCAGUUCCAAGAGGAGGAAGAAAAGCUGGCACUCAGCCUUUAUUUCUCCCCAAACACCACAGUCAUUCAAUUCUGAAAAAAAAAAAAAAAAA